rnacentral:rRNA from 1 species
AGCUCCAAUAGCGUAUACUAAAGUUGUUGCGGUUAAAAAGCUCGUAGUUGGAUUUUGGGCCCGUGUCGCCGUCGGUCCGGUGCAAGCCGCGUACUGACAGCCGGGGCCCUUCUGUCCGGAGGCCGUCGCGGGUGUCUUCGUUGGCAUCCGUGCGCGGAGUCUGGGACUCUUACUUUGAACAAAUUGGAGUGUUUAAAGCAGGCCUACGCCCUGAACACAUUAGCAUGGAAUAAAAAAAUAGGACUUUGGUUUUAUUUUGUUGGUUUUCUCGAGACCAAAGUAAUGAUUAACAGGGACAGUUGGGGGCAUUCGUAUUUAAUUGUCAGAGGUGAAAUUCUUAGAUUUAUGAAAGACGAACUUCUGCGAAAGCAUUUGCCAAGGAUGUUUUCAUUAAUCAAGA